rnacentral:rRNA from 1 species
UACGUAGGGGGCUAGCGUUGUCCGGAAUCAUUGGGCGUAAAGCGCGCGUAGGCGGCCAGAUAAGUCCGGUGUGAAAGUCACAGGCUCAACCUGUGAAUGCCGCUGGAAACUGUCUGGCUCGAGUCCGGAAGGGGCGAGUGGAAUUCCUGGUGUAGCGGUGAAAUGCGCAGAUAUCAGGAGGAACACCAAUGGCGAAGGCAGCUCGCUGGAACGGUACUGACGCUGAGGCGCGAAAGCGUGGGGAGCGAACAGG